UACGGAGGUGGCAAGCGUUGCUCGGAAUCACUGGGCGUAAAGGGCUCGUAGGCGGUUUGUCGCGUCGGGAGUGAAAACCUCGGGCUUAACUCGGGGCUUGCUUUCGAUACGGGCAGACUGGAGGUAUGCAGGGGAGAACGGAAUUCCUGGUGUAGCGGUGAAAUGCGCAGAUAUCAGGAGGAACACCGGUGGCGAAGGCGGUUCUCUGGGCAUGACCUGACGCUGAGGAGCGAAAGUGUGGGGAGCGAACAGG
rnacentral:rRNA from 1 species